CAGUCGCCGCGGUAAUACGUAGGGUGCAAGCGUUGUCCGGAAUUAUUGGGCGUAAAGGGCUCGCAGGCGGUUUCUUAAGUCUGAUGUGAAAGCCCCCGGCUCAACCGGGGAGGGUCAUUGGAAACUGGGAAACUUGAGUGCAGAAGAGGAGAGUGGAAUUCCACGUGUAGCGGUGAAAUGCGUAGAGAUGUGGAGGAACACCAGUGGCGAAGGCGACUCUCUGGUCUGUAACUGACGCUGAGGAGCGAAAGCGUGGGGAGCGAACAGGAUUAGAUACCCGCGUAGUCCCUGUCUCUUAUAC
rnacentral:rRNA from 1 species